AUAGUACAUGCAGCAGCUGCAGAAGCACUGUAGCUCUGAGGGAGGAGACGUGCAGCUGCUGCUGACGGCUCCGGUUGGGGUCUAUGUGCGUUCCUGACUGAAUACCACACACACAUACCCAAUCGUACCAAUACCCUACCUACCUCUCCAUCUCCAAGCCUACCUCAUACUGCAUGUUUGUAUUGCUGCUGAACUGCAAUUAAAGAGAGACUCAAACCAGAAAA